rnacentral:lncRNA from 1 species
CGGAACCAGCCGGCGCGGGCCUCCUCGCCCCGCCGCGGGCGGCGCUGCCCGCUCCGGUCGGCCGCGGCCGGGGGCUGGGACUGUGGCUGGCGCUGCUCUCGAGUUGGCGUGCGGGGCCGGGCUCCGUGGGUGCGAGGUUCCGGGGCAGGCCCCGCUGCUCCGGCUGCCGCUUUCUUGGGUCGGGCCAGUUCCGCAGGAGCGUCGGCUCCGGCCCUCUUUCCUGGGCGGUGUGGGGUCAUUGCUGCUCCAGUGUCGCUGAGAUCCGAGUGUGAGGCCCGUCUGUCUUGGCGUGUGCGCCCGUGCCCCAGUGCCCUCGCCGCUUGCUUCGCCCCCUCUGCGUCCCUUCCACUCGUGCUUCCUUCAGAGUGUGCAGCCGGGUGCCGGCGAGCUCCGUACUCUGGGAAAGGGCACGCUGUACUUUGAAUUGGUCCUGGAACACGCCAGCAAAGAGAAGUGGUCACUGGGUUUUAG